rnacentral:antisense_RNA from 1 species
UGUUAUGGCAGAUCGCGUGGGGAGACCUUCGGGUCUGCCGGUUCCUGCUAGCCGGUUCGCCAACCCUGCGCGGUCUGCCACCCAU